GAUGAACGCUGACAGAAUGCUUAACACAUGCAAGUCUUUGGCGAAGCUGUGCUUGCACAGCCUAGCCAAGGCGGACGGGUGAGUAACGCGUAAGGAACUUGCCCUGCAGUCAUGGAUAACAGACGGAAACGACUGAUAAGACCUGGUAAAGUCAGGCGGACUCAUGUCCAGCCUGAUGAAAAGAGAUGCUGCUGGAGAGCCUUGCGUCCUAUUAGCUUGUUGGUGGGGUAACGGCCCACCAAGGCGAUGAUAGGUAGCCGGCCUGAGAGGGUGGACGGCCACAAGGAGACUGAGAUACGGCACUUACUACUACGGGAGGAAGCAGUGGGGAAUAUUGGAAAAAGGGGGCAAAGCUGAUGCAGAAAUUCUGUGUGCAAGAUGAAGGUUUUCGGAGUGAAAAGAGCUUGAAGAAGGGAAGAAAAAAAUGACGGUACCUGAAGAAGAAGCGACGGCUAAAUACGUG
rnacentral:rRNA from 1 species